CUUCUAUUUGUCUUAAAUUAAAGCUCAAUUGUGAAUGCAUGUACCAUGACCAUUAAUGGGACUUUCCUCCUUGCAAUGUAUGCUCUUUUAAAGCCCGGAACGACAUGCUAAUGAUCCACACCAUUGGUUGGAACCGACUGAAGCAGGAUGGCGUUCAUCUUGCAGUACCCAGCAGAUAUGUCAAGGUAUUGACCAGAUGCCAUGUGACAAAGCUGACAAACAAUAUUAGUUCUGUGUGUAAAUGUGGUUGGAAAACAUGACUGACAACAUGAUUACUUCAUACUGCGCUUUUCAUGAUUUUCCUCACUUUUCUAAGAUUUUAAGAAGAUGGCAAAGUUUGUUUAUUUACUUUACUGUAGACUUUCCAAAAGGCUCAAGAAGAGUCUCAGAGGCUGGAAGAUUUGAGCAGAGAGCUUGGGUGUCCUGAGAACAUGGUGCAGCAGUGGGUACACGAUGUCAAACAAUGGGCUGCUGAUGAUUCUCUAAGUACCCAACGCGAUGACCAGCAGAAUCUUCAGCAGUCCAUUGAACAAAUGUUUCUCAGUGUUCAUCAGAAAAAAGCCAGCCUUUAUACCCAGACUGAUAGCAACGAAAUUCGACACUUGCGUAGAAGGAAAUUGAGGGAAGAGAAGAAGAAACUCCUGGAGACAAUCAAGCUCUAUAAUGAGCAGGUGUCUAAUGAGGAGCAGAUCGAUUUGGUGAAGGUGGAGAGCAGACUCUCUGUGGUUGGAGGA
rnacentral:lncRNA from 15 species